ACGAAAAUGUGGUUUGAGUUUAAAAUCGUUUAAAAAGCCCGCUUUAAAUUCAUAUUUUAAAAAGCAAUCACUUGAAAAAUGUUCUAAAGAAGUGCCUUCGAGUAAAGGCCAGUCAAAUUCAGGCCCAGAAAAGAUAAAUUUGGUAAAUAAAGCAGAAAAUGAGACACCAAUUUCUGAGACUAGAAUGAAGCUGUUUGGUCUGAUGCGAAGAUUCAAGAACUGGAAGGAUAUGACACCUCUUCCUUUAAAUCCUUUGAUUAAAUCACUAACUGAAACCCAAAAUGAGGUCAAUGAUAAAUCAACUGAGACACACGGUAGCUCAAAUAGUUGUGCUUCCCAUGGAAUGGGGAACAACAAUUAUGUUGACUUGCCCAAACUUGGGGAUCACUUUCUUUCUCACAAAGCACAGUUUUAUACAUUCAAUGAAAAUGAUGAGUUUUGUAU